UGCGUAGGCGGCGCGGUAAGUCGGGUGUGAAAUCUCGGAGCUUAACUCCGAAACUGCAUUCGAUACUGCCGUGCUUGAGGACUGGAGAGGAGACUGGAAUUUACGGUGUAGCGGUGAAAUGCGUAGAUAUCGUAGGGAAGACCAGUGGCGAAGGCGGGUCUCUGGACAGUUCCUGACGCUGAGGCACGAAGGCCAGGGGAGCAAACGG
rnacentral:rRNA from 1 species